GCCUACGAGGGGCCGGGAGGAGCCCGGCGCUGGCUGGUGCGCGCGGAGGCGGCUACAGAGUUUCCAAAUAGGAAAAGCGGCUGCGGGCCCGGGACGCGGCGGGGCGUUCCCCGGCUGCCUGCGCCCUGAGUCACCCGAAAAGAAGAAGAAUGUAAAGGUGCAAAAGUCAGUCCUCUACCUCCUGUCCAGCAGCCAUGCAGUUCCUUACCCCAAGCCCCCUAAUGUCACCAUCAGUUUUGUGUAUCCUUCCAGAGAGAAGCUAUACAUAUACAAGCAAGUCCAUCUGACAUGCAUCCUAUAAAUGUAUGUACCUUAUGCCCGGAUCAAACAUUUCAUCCUCCGACCAAGCUCGUGAGGUGGAGCUUCUUUGUGGCAUCUUGCUGAAGAGGAAGCAGAGGCUCAGUUGGAAGAGUGUCGCUAUUCCUCUCCAAGACCAUUGGCUCCAUAUGCUCCAGGUACCAUCUCCUCCCAACUUAUCAAGAACUGGACUCCUGAGAAAUCCUACCCUUUCUACCACCAGCAAUUCGUCCUCUGAAUCAGGUCAUUUGAAACUCCUCCUUGACUCCAUGUGCACAUCCAACUUCUGUGCCAUUUUUUUGGUCCAGUGGUUCUGUUGAUAUGCUGUAUUACGUUCAUUGAUUUUUGGACGGUAAACCAACCUCACAUGUCUGGGAUAAAUCCCACUUGAUCAUGGUAUCUAAUCCUUCUGAUAUGUUGCUGGGUUUGAUUUGCUAGUGUGUUGUGGAGGAUUUUUAUAUCUCUAGUCAUUAUUUUUAUUGAUCUCUAUUUUUUUCUUCUUGUACUGAAUUUUGCUUGGUUUUGUUAUCAGGGUAACAA